rnacentral:rRNA from 1 species
GACGAACGCUGGCGGCGUGCUUAACACAUGCAAGUCGAACGAAGUGGCGAACUGGUGAGUAACUCGUAAUCAACCUGCCCUUCAGAGGGGGACAACAGUUGGAAACGACUGCUAAUACCGCCUACUGAUGGCGGGGAUUGCGUCGGAUUAGCUAGUUGGAGGGGUAACGGCCCACCAAGGCGAUGAUCAGUAGCCGGUCUGGGAGGAUGAACGGCCACAUUGGGACUGAGACACGGCCCAGACGCCUACGGGAGGCAGCAGUGGGGAAUCUUCCGCAAUGGACGAAAGUCUGACGGAGCAACGCCGCGUGAGUGAUGACGGCCUUCGGGUUGUAAAGCUCUGAUAAGCGGGACGCGGUACCGGAAUAGAAAGCCACGGCUAACUACGUGCCAGCAGCCGCGGUAAUUC